rnacentral:misc_RNA from 1 species
AACGCACCUUGCGCUCUCUGGUAUUCCGGAGAGCAUGCCUGUUUGAGUGUCAUGAACUCUUCAACCCACCGGUUCCUUGUUGAACUGAGUUGGUGUUUGGUUUCUGAGUGUUUUUGCUAUGUUUUCAACAUAGCUCACUCGUAAUUCAUUAGCAUCUCGAUUUCGAAAUUUCGGAUUGACUCAGCGUAAUAGACUAUUCGUUGAGGACACCUUUACUGGUGGCCGAAGUUAUGAUAACAGUAGAUGCUUCUAAUCCUACUAGUCAUUUUUAUUGAUUAGACCUCAAAUCAGGCAGGACUACCCGCUGAACUUAA